GAGGGAGUACUUGUUUACGAAGAACAAUUUUCUUCUGUAAUUACAAUGCACGCACAUCUUAGAUCAGGUUCAACUGAAUCUCAGUUCUAUAAAUUAUUUAGAAUUGUGAAUUGGUGGCACCUUAUUCUUCUUUUUCUUUUCUCUGGAUGGGUUCCAUCUAUUCAUUUGGACCAUGCACUAUCUCCCAUAAUUAUGCCUUCAAUCAAUAAGCAUGUGCAUGCACAACCCUUUUGUCCCACUAAUAGUUGCAGUAGCCCAUGAGCCGUACCUGAUCACCUUGAACCUAGUAUGAAAAAGGAAAACAUGUGAAGAAUUU
rnacentral:lncRNA from 1 species